AGGAAAAGAAACUAACAAGGAUUCCCUUAGUAACGGCGAGUGAACCGGGAAGAGCUCAAAUUUGUAAUCUGGCUGUCUUCGAUAGUCCGAGUUGUAAUCUAUAGACGUGUUUUCCGUGCUGGACCGUAUCUAAGUCCCUUGGAACAGGGUAUCAAAGAGGGUGAUAAUCCCGUGCUUGAUACGACCACCAGUGCUCUGUGAUACACGCUCUACGAGUCGAGUUGUUUGGGAAUGCAGCUCAAAAUGGGUGGUAAAUUCCAUCUAAAGCUAAAUAUUGGCGAGAGACCGAUAGCGAACAAGUACCGUGAGGGAAAGAUGAAAAGCACUUUGGAAAGAGAGUUAAACAGUACGUGAAAUUGUUGAAAGGGAAACGAUUGAAGUCAGUCGUGUUCUUCAGAUUCAGCUGGUUCUUCCAGUCUACUUCUGUUGAACGGGUCAACAUCAGUUUUGUCCGGUGGAUAAAGGUAGUAGGAAUGUGACUCCUCCGGGAGUGUUAUAGCCUAUUAUUGCAUACACUGGGUGAGACUGAGGACUGCAGCUCGCCUUUUGGCCGGUCUUCGGACACGUUCGAGCUUAGGAUGUUGACAUAAUGGCUUUAAACGACC
rnacentral:rRNA from 1 species